ACGCUCGACACCUACGUGAGGCAGCAGUGGGGAAUAUUGCACAAUGGGGGAAACCCUGAUGCAGCGACGCCGCGUGAAGGAAGAAGUAUUUCGGUAUGUAAACUUCUAUCAGCAGGGAAGAAACUGACGGUACCUGACUAAGAAGCACCGGCUAAAUACGUGCCAGCAGCCACGGUAAUCUGAGCGGGCUGGCAAGGC
rnacentral:rRNA from 1 species